CACCCAAGCGCCCCAACAUUCUGAGGUCUUGACCUGAGCCAAAAUCAAGAGUCAGACGCUCAAAUGACCGAGCCUCUCAGGUGCCCCUAAUCUGAUUUUUACUUUUCUUGUUGUUGUUUUAAAAGAUUUGAGAGAGCAAGAGAGAACACAAGCAGGGGGAAUGGGAGAGGGAGAAGCAGACUCCCAGCUGAGUGGGGAGCCCCACGCAAAGCUCAAUCCGAGGACCCCAGGAACAAGACCUAAGCCGAAUGCAGAUGCUUAACUGACUGAGCCAUCCAGACUGAUGCAUUUGAGACAAAACCACUAAGGAGGCAAGAAGCAGGAGCUCCCUUCAGUCUAAGCAUCCCCCAGAAGCCAAGCCUUGGAAGAUGGAAAUGAUAAAGAAGCUGUUUACGAGGGUGACAUUCACCUAACUUUGAUCCAGACAUGAUAUCAUCUCCAGGGUGUACCCUGUGCCAAACGACUGCAUGCUUUUGCCCCAAACGGUGGUUUUGUGCAGACUUACAAAUACGACCCGAAUAGCUGUGAGCCGGCCUGCACAUCCACAAACAGGUCAGAGCAGAUUUGAGUUACACAACUCCCCGGCCGAGGGAGCCUGGUCCCCCGUGGCCAGCUGGAGAGUUUACAUUUGUCAAUUACUUCCUUCAGGGCCUGGCUCAAGAUUCAUUUCCUCCAAGACUCCCUCUUCUACAAACUCACUUCGCUCAGCCAUUCCCUCCUCCCACAUCUGCUUAUUACUCAUCUCAUACUCUUUGUUCUGCUCUGCCACGUACUGUUGUGUUUUACCUCGUGAUCAUUCUCUGAAUUUUUACUUUAUCCUUCAGCUAAAUUAAAACUGCCUUGCAAGUA